GAACUCCAUGAGUUCGUAAUCAGCAAGGAUUGUGGUAUUAUUUGCUGAAAGACGAAGUGUGAACGAAGUUUGAGGUGGUAAGGACCAGUGCCAUGCUUGAGUGUUUCUUUCUGAGUUUUAGGUGUGCAUGUUUGUGUGUUUGACGACAUAGUCCCAUUCGUGUAUCUGACAUACCAGAAGUACACGGAAGGAAACUGAGUUUGUUGAAUGAAGUGAGGUGCAGCCACACAGCGAUCAAACCAGUGCUGUUGUUCGGUGCUUCUGACGGAUUUGGAAAACCUGAAUUGAUACGUGCCUUUUGAAAUUUUACUGGGUUGCAGUGUACCUUACUUUACCAGACUGACUCUUGUCUCGAUGGGGAAAUACUUUAGUAUUGAAGUUCUUUCAACGUUGCACUCUUGUGCACAAUGCCUGGAAUUGUAGCGUUGAUCUUCAUAGCAUGGCACUUCAAAUCCGUACACCACAUACCUAAUCAAAACCGCUUUGAAACGGCUCCCAUUCUCGUCUGUUUCUACCCUGGGAUAGUGUUUUCAAUUCGACGUGGGUAAGCUGCAGAUUCAGGGUUUGGGGCACUAGGUUGCAUAAGAUUUGCAGCAACAUUCAGUUUCCAUGUAUGGUGCGAAAAGGCAGUAAUACUGUAGGAGAAGGCUGAUCCUUAAUUUUUUAAGUUCAGCUGGAAUGUUGCCAUAAAAAUCACCAUUAUCCUGGCCCCAUUGUUAACUCAGCGUCAUUGCAGUCCCAUGGGAAACAAUGUCGAAUAGUGUAUUAAUCUAACAAGCCAUAUUAUCGUUUUCCGAAAUGGUGAGGAUAGACCUUCCUGUUACAGAUUUACAACGGUGAAUUAGAACGUUUCUCGUUCACCGCAACAGAGGAUGGAGUCUGUGGUUCGUUUUCAUGAUUCCAAAUGCAGCAGCCGUUGUUUCGUUUGGCAGGUUUUUUUUUAUUGAUUUUUCCAAACCUGUAUUCCGUUAUGCUAGUGUGUUCGAAUUCGUGUCUAUUUCACAAAUAGAAUCCUUCGUGCAUAAAAUCAUUUACCUCAACUCCCUUCACCAUUUGUCUUUUCGUUGAAAUAUCCACACUCUAAAUCCUUGUUGAAAUGAUACACUGGCAUGACCGAGGCACAGUGACUCUAUGGUAAAUCUCGAAAAGAUCCUCGGAAGAUAGGUUCACAUCGACGAUUAAUAUUUUGCCUAUCAUCACCAAAUCGCUACUGGUGUCUCCAUCGAUGUAGAACCUUUUAGCCCUUGUGAUUGACGCUUAUAUGCUACGAUAGAAUGUUACUGCACCGAAAACCAAUUUUUGGAUAUUCUCCUUUG
rnacentral:misc_RNA from 1 species